AGAGGUAUAGCGCAUGGGAAAA
rnacentral:piRNA from 1 species